GAACGCUGGCGGCAUGCCUUACACAUGCAAGUCGAACGGCAGCACGGGAGCAAUCCUGGUGGCGAGUGGCGAACGGGUGAGUAAUGUAUCGGAACGUACCUUUCAGUGGGGAUAACGUAGCGAAAGUUACGCUAAUACCGCAUAUUCUGUGUGCAGGAAAGCAGGGGAUCGCAAGACCUUGCGCUGAUUGAGCGGCCGAUAUCAGAUUAGCUAGUUGGUGAGGUAAGGCUCACCAAGGCGACGAUCUGUAGCGGGUCUGAGAGGAUGAUCCGCCACACUGGAACUGAGACACGGUCCAGACUCCUACGGGAGGCAGCAGUGGAGAAUUUUGGACAAUGGGGGCAACCCUGAUCCAGCCAUGCCGCGUGAGUGAAGAAGGCCUUCGGGUUGUAAAGCUCUUUCGGCCGGGAAGAAAUCGCAUGGGUUAAUACCCUGUGCGGAUGACGGUACCGGCAUAAGAAGCACCGGCUAACUACGUG
rnacentral:rRNA from 1 species